CGCACGGGUGAGUAACGCGUAUGGAACCUACCUGAAACAGGGGGAUAGCUUCCGGAAACGGGGAUUAAUACCGCAUACGAUUCAUUAGUGGCCUCACAAAUGGAUAAAAGCUACGGCGGUUUCAGAUGGCCAUGCGUACCAUUAGUUAGUUGGUGAGGUAAAGGCUCACCAAGGCGAUGAUGGUUAGGGGUCCUGAGAGGGUAGUCCCCCACACUGGUACUGAGACACGGACCAGACUCCUACGGGAGGCAGCAGUGAGGAAUAUUGGUCAAUGGGCGCUAGCCUGAACCAGCCAUGCCGCGUGCAGGAAGACGGCCCUACGGGUUGUAAACUGCUUUUCUGCAGGAAGAAUAUAUAGUCUUAGGGGUAUAUUGACGGUACUGCAGGAAUAAGCAUCGGCUAACUCCGUGCCAGCAGCCGCGGUAAUACGGAGGAUGCAAGCGUUAUCCGGAUUCAUUGGGUUUAAAGGGUGCGCAGGCUGUAAAGCAAGUCAGUGGUGAAAGCCCUGGGCUUAACUCAGGGAUUGCCAUUGAAACUGUUUUACUAGAGUGUAGUAGAGGACGGCGGAAUGAGUUGUGUAGCGGUGAAAUGCAUAGAUAUAACUCAGAACACCUAUUGCGUAGGCAGCUGUCUAUACUACAACUGACGCUGAGGCACGAAAGCGUGGGGAGCGAACAGGAUUAGAUACCCUGGUAGUCCACGCUGUAAACGAUAAUCACUCGUUGUUGGCUACUUAGUAGUCAGUGACCAAGGGAAACCGAUAAGUGAUCCACCUGGGGAGUACGUCGGCAACGAUGAAACUCAAAGGAAUUGACGGGGGCCCGCACAAGCGGAGGAACAUGUGGUUUAAUUCGAUGAUACGCGAGGAACCUUACCUGGGCUUAAAUGCUGGCUGCAUUGGAGGGAAACCUUCAUUUCCUACGGGACCGCCAGCAAGGUGCUGCAUGGUUGUCGUCAGCUCGUGCCGUGAGGUGUCGGGUCAAGUCCCUUAGCGAGCGCAACCCUCUAUCGCUAGUGCCAGCAUGUAAUGGUGGGGACUCUAGCGAGUCUGCCGGUGUAAACCGGAGGAAGGUGGGGAUGAUGUCAAAUCAGCACGUCCCUUACGUCCAGGGCUACACUCGUGUUACAAUGGCCG
rnacentral:rRNA from 1 species